CCGUCAUGGAGUCUACAAGGAAGAGCAAUGAUGGCGGACUCCUAUGAGGCUAGGAUAAAAAAGCAGUCAUGGAUGCUCUGAAGUACAGAUAUUGGCGAGAGAGUUUGUAUAUAAACCUGCAUGGUGGUGGAGUCCACGUGGAAAGCUGGUAUCUCACCCACCACAACUUAGAAGCCGAAGCCAACACACCGUCACGUACCAACCCUUUCAUCAUCAUCAUCAACGAAGCAAUUGCAACUUUGGGAGGACUUUGGUAUGUAAUGCAUUUUCUUUUUCUAUAUCCAGAAUCCCUUCUUUAAAAUCUGAGAGUUCUUUUUUAUUUUCUAGGCUCAUUGUCUCUCUUGUCUGCUCACUCCAUGCUCUCCCUUCCUCCUCUCUAGUAUCUUUUUUUUUUUUUAAUGAUUUUAUUUAUUCAUGAGAGAGACACAGAAAGAGGCAGAGACACAGGUAGAGGGAGAAGCAGGGUCCCUGUGGGAAGCCUGAUCUCAGGACCCCAGGAUCAUGCCAUGAGCCACAGACUGACGCUCAACCAUGGACCCACCAGGUGCCCCAUUUUUUUGGGGGGGUCUGUCUUAGGUGUCAGUGACUUAGGCAUAAGGAAGAUUUAGCAAUAAAAUAAGGAAGUUGUUGAGGAAUGUAAAUAAC
rnacentral:lncRNA from 1 species